rnacentral:rRNA from 1 species
AACGGUAACAGGUUAAGCUGACGAGUGGCGAACGGGUGAGUAAUGUAUCGGAACGUGCCCAGUCGUGGGGGAUAACUGCUCGAAAGAGCAGCUAAUACCGCAUACGACCUGAGGGUGAAAGCGGGGGAUCGCAAGACCUCGCGCGAUUGGAGCGGCCGAUAUCAGAUUAGGUAGUUGGUGAGGUAAAGGCUCACCAAGCCGACGAUCUGUAGCUGGUCUGAGAGGACGACCAGCCACACUGGGACUGAGACACGGCCCAGACUCCUACGGGAGGCAGCAGUGGGGAAUUUUGGACAAUGGGCGCAAGCCUGAUCCAGCCAUGCCGCGUGCGGGAAGAAGGCCUUCGGGUUGUAAACCGCUUUUGUCAGGGAAGAAAAGGUUCUGGCUAAUACCUGGGACUCAUGACGGUACCUGAAGAAUAAGCACCGGCUAACUACGUGCCAGCAGCCGCGGUAAUACGUAGGGUGCAAGCGUUAAUCGGAAUUACUGGGCGUAAAGCGUGCGCAGGCGGUUAUGCAAGACAGAGGUGAAAUCCCCGGGCUCAACCUGGGAACUGCCUUUGUGACUGCAUGGCUAGAGUACGGUAGAGGGGGAUGGAAUUCCGCGUGUAGCAGUGAAAUGCGUAGAUAUGCGGAGGAACACCGAUGGCGAAGGCAAUCCCCUGGACCUGUACUGACGCUCAUGCACGAAAGCGUGGGGAGC